UCGAACGCUGAAGCACCAGCUUGCUGGUGUGGAUGAGUGGCGAACGGGUGAGUAAUACGUGAGUAACCUGCCCUUGACUCUGGGAUAAGCCCGGGAAACUGGGUCUAAUACUGGAUGCUACAUGUCACCGCAUGGUGGUGUGUGGAAAGGGUUUACUGGUCUUGGAUGGGCUCACGGCCUAUCAGCUUGUUGGUGAGGUAAUGGCUCACCAAGGCGACGACGGGUAGCCGGCCUGAGAGGGUGACCGGCCACACUGGGACUGAGACACGGCCCAGACUCCUACGGGAGGCAGCAGUGGGGAAUAUUGCACAAUGGGCGAAAGCCUGAUGCAGCGACGCCGCGUGAGGGAUGACGGCCUUCGGGUUGUAAACCUCUUUCAGCAGGGAAGAAGCCACAAGUGACGGUACCUGCAGAAGAAGCGCCGGCUAACUACGUGCCAGCAGCCGCGGUAAUACGUAGGGCGCAAGCGUUGUCCGGAAUUAUUGGGCGUAAAGAGCUCGUAGGCGGUUUGUCGCGUCUGCUGUGAAAGCCCGGGGCUUAACCCCGGGUGUGCAGUGGGUACGGGCAGACUAGAGUGCAGUAGGGGAGACUGGAAUUCCUGGUGUAGCGGUGGAAUGCGCAGAUAUCAGGAGGAACACCGAUGGCGAAGGCAGGUCUCUGGGCUGUUACUGACGCUGAGGAGCGAAAGCAUGGGGAGCGAACAGGAUUAGAUACCCUGGUAGUCCAUGCCGUAAACGUUGGGCACUAGGUGUGGGGGACAUUCCACGUUUUCCGCGCCGUAGCUAACGCAUUAAGUGCCCCGCCUGGGGGAGUACGGCCGCAAGGCUAAAACUCAAAGGAAUUGACGGGGGGCCCGCACAAGCGGCGGAGCAUGCGGAUUAAUUUCGAUGCAACGCGAAGAACCUUACCAAGGCUUGACAUAUAACCGGAUCGUUCCCGAAGAUGGUUCUU
rnacentral:rRNA from 1 species